GGAAUGGAUGUUUUAACAUCCAAUGAAGAUUUAGAAAAAAUUAAAUU
rfam:Solenopsis invicta Si_gnG.contig90608, whole genome shotgun sequence.